CGCACUACAUGGACAGGUUGGCGGCGACCUGGGAGUGGAGAAGUUGGCCCACAACCUGUCUACAACCAGAUCGAUUUUGUUCUUUGCCGUACGCAACACAAGCCACUGCUGUGUAAUGCACGUAGCUAUGCAGGCUGCGAGACACCAACGGAUCACAGAAUAGUCAUUGCCACACUGCAGCUUCGUGCGUUAUUUCCAAUCUGGCGGAAGGGAAACCAGACAACUAAGCGUAGCUUCAACACCUCGAUGUUUACUCAGAACCCCCAGGUCUGUUGUCAAUUCCAGGAGGAGGUAGACAAAUCACUGGCAACGCAACAAACGCAGCAGGGAACUGUUUCAGCUGAGGCACGUUUCGGAGGUGUGAGGGAUGCACUGGAGUCGGCUGCAACAAAAACAGUUGGAUAUAAAAAGAGAGCCGAAUGUAGCCGAAAAGCCCAUGAUCCUGGCAUAGCCCUUCUAUCAGCCCAACAAAAAGAACUACACACUACGAGAUAAAAAAUAUACAUAAAAAUAGAGUUGCCAGAAGCGGAGAUCAAGGCGUUGGCAAUGUGCAGCGGAUACUGACGGACGAAAGCAGCAGGUGAAGUACUUCACAGGCCGAAACUUACUAAGUAGAUUUACAGAAGACUCCUUGCUCCCACUGCAAUGGGUGGCAGGAGUGGAAAGUGUUAGGAAACGAUACUGGUGAUGACCUGGGACUAGGGUGCAUGUACAGAAGCAACAGUUCCUAGUAUAAUUCUACUGCAGAACUAAAGCAAACUAGAAUUAGUGUACCGCUGAGUGUACCGCUAUACACGUGGUCGACACGUUGUCGAUACUUUGUUGUUACUUUGUUGACACGUGACCCCGUCAGCGGUCUGCUUUGUGCCAAUGUGCAAUGCAGAAGUCGACGAAGACGAACGAGGAGGCCCCUUUCGGUACCCCUGACGGGAAGGAGAACUGCAGAAGUCGACGAAGUGGAACGAGGAGGCCCCUUUCCGUACCCCGUACCGCAAAGUGCCAUUGAUGAAUGUCUUCUGCACCUGGAACGCCCCGGAAACGCUGUCGCGUAGGCGGACUGAAUGCGCAGGGCAAAAAUAAUUGCUGCAAAGAUGUCCGCUCUAGGCCUUUGGAGACAUCGUGGGAACUCCUUCCGGCACCCCCGUACCGCAAAGUGCCAUUGAUGAUCGAUGAAUGUCUUUUGCAAGUGGAACGACCCCGUAAACGCUGUCGCGUCGGCGGGCUGAAUGCGCAGGACGAAAAAUAUUGCUGCAGAGACGUCCGUUCUAGGCCUUUGGAGACAUGGUGCGAACUCCUUCCGGUACCCCCGUACCGCAAAGUGCCAUUGAUGAAUGUCUUCUGCAACUGGAACGGCCCCGUAAACGCUGUCCCGUCCGCCUGACGCUGUGACGGGGAGGAGAACGGCAGAAGUGGACACAGACGAACGAGGAGGAAUCAGGACGAGCGAGCAAUGGCAGGACUGUAAGUAAUAGCUCAAUUAGAAAUGAGAACUUGACAUUCAUGGCACUUGCCACUGCAUAUUUAUUGUCCACUCACAAUGUCUUUCCUCUGCCCCUGUGUGCCCACGGCCCUGUUGCGGCACUGGCCCGAUGAAUCGAAUGUCUUCUACAACUGGAACGGGCCCGUAAACUCUGUCGCGUCGGCGGACUGUAUGCGCAGGACGAAAAACAUUGCUGCGAAGACGUCCCCUAUAGGCGACGGUAUAUCAUCCUGUGACGACCACAUUGAAGUCUGAAUUUGAAGUGUGAAGAUGCUUCAGCAACCACACUCGUACUUUUCCAUUGCUUUCAUUGUGCUUCUACUGUGCAUGUGUGUAAGUUGUGGGGUAUACUUGUGAUGACAUUGUGUGCUGGCGACACGGUCAGAUUUUGUCCAUGCGUGUAACGUACACCUGCAUGUUAUGCAUUGAAAAGGAUCUGCCACUUACGAUCCUGGGACGAGUAUCAGGUCAGCUUUGUCUUGUGUGGGCUGUACCAGAUUGCUGUUCACUUCUCUAUCUGUUGGAUAUGUGACUUUCUGCAAGUUUCUGGUGUAUGGUGGCCACUUCCUUGCUUGUCACUUUGUAUGAUAUUACAUUCUGUAUUUGCUGCUUCCAUGGCGUGGUCUGCAAACUGCAAUCCUUGAGCAAAUGUCAUGUUUGCUAUGUUGUGCUUUAGCCGUCAGCUUGUCUACACAUUGUACAGUCAACUUCACGUAUAACGACACUCGGCGGGGCAUCAGAAAAGUGUCCUUAUUUGCGAAGUGUCGUUAUACCCGAAGUCCCAUUAUAUGAUUGUAUUACAGUUGGAUGGGACUUUGCUCUGGACAUGGAAAUUCUGUCGUUAUUCGCGAAUUGUCGUUAUAUCCGCAGUCGUUAUUAUCGAAGUUGACUGUAGUUGAAUUAUUUUGUUUCACAUCUGACUUCCUGAAGUACGGUGACCACUGCUUUGCAUGGCAUUAUA